rnacentral:rRNA from 1 species
UGCCAGCCGCCGCGGUAACACGGGGGGCGCCAGCGUUAUUCGGACUCACUGGGCUUAAAGGGUACGUAGGCGGCGCGGCAAGUUGGGUGUGAAAUCCCUCGGCUCAACCGAGGAAUGGCGCCCAAAACUGCCGCGCUAGAGGGGGACAGAGGUGAGUGGAACUUAGGGUGGAGCGGUGAAAUGCGUUGAUAUCCUAAGGAACACCGGUGGCGAAAGCGACUCACUGGGUCUCUUCUGACGCUGAGGUACGAAAGCUAGGGGAGCGAACGGGAUUAGAUA